rnacentral:rRNA from 1 species
CGCUUUUUCUUUCACCGGAGCUUGCUCCAYCGAAAGAAAAAGAGUGGCGAACGGGUGAGUAACACGUGGGUAACCUGCCCAUCAGAAGGGGAUAACACUUGGAAACAGGUGCUAAUACCGUAUAACACUAUUUUCCGCAUGGAAGAAAGUUGAAAGGCGCUUUUGCGUCACUGAUGGAUGGACCCGCGGUGCAUUAGCUAGUUGGUGAGGUAACGGCUCACCAAGGCCACGAUGCAUAGCCGACCUGAGAGGGUGAUCGGCCACACUGGGACUGAGACACGGCCCAGACUCCUACGGGAGGCAGCAGUAGGGAAUCUUCGGCAAUGGACGAAAGUCUGACCGAGCAACGCCGCGUGAGUGAAGAAGGUUUUCGGAUCGUAAAACUCUGUUGUUAGAGAAGAACAAGGAUGAGAGUAGAACGUUCAUCCCUUGACGGUAUCUAACCAGAAAGCCACGGCUAACUACGUGCCAGCAGCCGCGGUAAUACGUAGGUGGCAAGCGUUGUCCGGAUUUAUUGGGCGUAAAGCGAGCGCAGGCGGUUUCUUAAGUCUGAUGUGAAAGCCCCCGGCUCAACCGGGGAGGGUCAUUGGAAACUGGGAGACUUGAGUGCAGAAGAGGAGAGUGGAAUUCCAUGUGUAGCGGUGAAAUGCGUAGAUAUAUGGAGGAACACCAGUGGCGAAGGCGGCUCUCUGGUCUGUAACUGACGCUGAGGCUCGAAAGCGUGGGGAGCGAACAGGAUUAGAUACCCUGGUAGUCCACGCCGUA